GACGAACGCUGGCGGCGUGCUUAACACACGCAAGUCGAACGAAUCGGCCCUUUCGGGGGUCCUCGAGCUGCGAACGUGUUCGUAUCACGUGAGUAACCUGUCCGUCACUUCCAGAUCAGUUCAGCAAACUGGGGCCAAUACCGGAUUGGAAUCCUUGCAUCAUGGUGGGGGUUGGAUUGCGUCGGUGGCUUUGGUUGGUCCUUCGGCUUAUCGCCUCGUCGGUGGGGUUGUGGCUUACCACGGCUUUGAGGGGUAGCCGGCCGGAGAGGGCGACCCGCCAGAUUGGGACUGAGAUACGGCCCAGACUCCUACGGGAGGCAGCAGUGGGGAAUAUUGCACAAUGGGCGGAAGCCUGAUGCAGCAACGCCGCGUGCGGGAUGACGGCCUUCGGGUUGUAGUCCGCUUUCAGCUGGGGCGAAGCUUGUGGUGACGGGACCGGCAGAAGAAGCACCGGCUAACUACGU
rnacentral:rRNA from 1 species